rnacentral:rRNA from 1 species
AUUGUACGCUGGCGGCAGGCCUAACACAUGCAAGUCGAGCGGAUGAGGGAAGCUUGCUUCCCGAUUUAGCGGCGGACGGGUGAGUAAUGCCUAGGAAUCUGCCUAUUAGUGGGGGAUAACGUUCCGAAAGGAACGCUAAUACCGCAUACGUCCUACGGGAGAAAGUGGGGGAUCUUCGGACCUCACGCUAAUAGACGAGCCUAGGUCGGAUUAGCUAGUUGGUGGGGUAACGGCUCACCAAGGCGACGAUCCGUAGCUGGUCUGAGAGGAUGAUCAGCCACACUGGAACUGAGACACGGUCCAGACUCCUACGGGAGGCAGCAGUGGGGAAUAUUGGACAAUGGGCGAAAGCCUGAUCCAGCCAUGCCGCGUGUGUGAAGAAGGUCUUCGGAUUGUAAAGCACUUUAAGUUGGGAGGAAGGGUUGUAAGCUAAUAUCUUGCAGCUUUGACGUUACCAACAGAAUAAGCACCGGCUAACUCUGUGCCAGCCGCCGCAGUAACAC